rnacentral:rRNA from 1 species
AGAGUUUGAUCAUGGCUCAGGAUUAACGCUGGCGGCGUGCCUAAUGCAUGCAAGUCGGACGCGCCCCCUUUCGGGGGGGUGGCGUGGCGGACGGGUGAGGAGCGCGUGGGCAACCUGCCCGGGGGUGGGGGGUAGCCACGGGAAACCGUGGGUAAUUCCGCAUGCGGUCGGCCCUCUAGUGGGGGGGCCGAGCAAAGGGCGCUUCGGCGCUCGCCUUCGGAGGGGCCCGCGUCCGAUUAGCUAGUUGGGGGGGUAACGGCCCACCAAGGCGGUGAUCGGUAGCUGGUCUGAGAGGAUGAUCAGCCACACUGGGACUGAGACACGGGCCCGACUCCUACGGGAGGCAGCAGUAAGGAAUAUUGGUCAAUGGACGCAAGUCUGAACCAGCCAUGCCGCGUGAGUGAUGAAGGCCUUAGGGUUGUAAAGCUCUUUUACCCGGGAUGAUAAUGACAGUACCGGGAGAAUAAGCUCCGGCUAACUCCGUGCCAGCAGCCGCGGUAAUACGGAGGGAGCUAGCGUUGUUCGGAAUUACUGGGCGUAAAGCGCACGUAGGCGGCUUUGUAAGUUAGAGGUGAAAGCCCGGAGCUCAACUCCGGAACUGCCUUUAAGACUGCAUCGCUUGAAUCCAGGAGAGGUGAGUGGAAUUCCGAGUGUAGAGGUGAAAUUCGUAGAUAUUCGGAAGAACACCAGUGGCGAAGGCGGCUCACUGGACUGGUAUUGACGCUGAGGUGCGAAAGCGUGGGGAGCAAACAGGAUUAGAUACCCUUGUAGUCC